GUCAGUGUGGCCGAGUGGUUAAGGCGUUCGACUCGAAUCCCUAUCUUUGAUAGGCAGUAGACAUCGAAUGGGUUCGCCCGCACAGUAAGUCUAAUACGAAUCGUAUUAUAAAAUACAAUAACAUGCUAACAUACUCAUCAGGGUUCGAAUCCUGUCGCUGACG